UACGGAGGGUGCAAGCGUUGCUCGGAAUUAUUGGGCGUAAAGGGCAGGUAGGUGGUCUCAUUUGUCUGGGGUGAAAGCCUUGGGCUUAACCCAAGAAGUGCCCCAGAAACGGUGAGACUUGAGUCCGAGAGAGGGUCGUGGAAUUCCCGGUGUAGCGGUGAAAUGCGUAGAGAUCGGGAGGAACACCAGAGGCGAAGGCGGCGACCUGGAUCGGCAUUGACGCUAAAGCGCGAAAGCCAGGGGAGCAAACGGG
rnacentral:rRNA from 1 species